GUGAGGAUGUCAGAAUUUUCUUAAGUUGUCAGAUUAUCUCCUGGCACAAGUCAUCCCAAACAAAUUUCAUUGAAUUCUCCAGCAGUUUCAUCAUGGGUCAAGUUUUGUCCACUAAUUGGGGAAGGAAGCGGGAAAUGGUUGUCAACCUUACUACAAGGGUCGUAAAUCCUUGACAUUCUUGGGGAUCCUUAUGUCGAUGACCACCUAACGUUUUCAGGGUUCUCCUCUAUUUCCCUUUAUGUUAACAUGAAACCCAAGAAUUUAUUGUCAUCUAUCCCGA
rnacentral:lncRNA from 1 species